rnacentral:misc_RNA from 1 species
AUUCUGAUUAUCAUCGGAGGAGUAAUUGGAGUUAUUGGAAACUCCCUUAUCAUCUACUUCUACUUCUUUCGUGUCAAGGAGAGGGGCGAGAGGUACUUUAUUCCUGUUCUUGGCGUGGUUGACCUAUUAGGUUGCUUAACAGGUGCCCCUUUUUACAUUAUGGACAACACUUUUCUUUUCUACUACCCAAGUACAGUGGCUUGCAGUGUCCUGUCCUUUUUACAGGUUUGGAUCCCUGGAAUAUCCAUGCAUAUGCUUCUUGUAAUAUCACUGCAAAGGUACCUUUUGGUUUGUAAACCUUUUGGACCGAAGAUGACGCUUUUUUGGAAGAGGAUUUCAAUUGCAAUCGUAUGUUUCGUCUCAAUUGCCUUCUCGGCCCCUCUUUUGAAAACUUCAGGUAUCUCUAAGGAAAGGAAUGUGUUCAUGGGCUACAACCUCACUACAUACAUUUGCAGGUUUUCGGAUGGAUCUACACCCGGCAUGUUCGCGUAUUUUGCGAUACUGUUUCUGGUCAUGUUGGCAAAUCUCGUUGUAACUGUUGGGCUCUAUAUCCCUGUAUUAAAAAGGAUAAAUUUAUCAUUCAGUUUUAAAAGUAAGACUUAUGAAAUUCAUCACGAAAACAAUCUUUCUUCACAAACAGACACGACUAAUGCAAGCGAGACUGACGGUCACCAAUGUACAGAACACGGUGUUGAGCAGCAGGCAAAAAGGUCCAUCGAAAUGCAUUUCUCCAAGAAAGUUCAUUUAGCUGCUUCCGAUUAUCAACCUCAGGAAAAUUCGGCAGAAAACAUUGCAAAUGAGCAUUCAGAAAGUCAACACAUUCCAGAAAAAAGUAGUAAUAGUGGUAAAAAGUUAGGAUCCAAAACCGAAUCCGCUCAAAGACGAAUUACUAUCAUGUUCUUUGUAAUCAUUGUUGCUUACGUAAUAUCGUACACUCCUCCCUUGAUUAUUUCUAUUCUUUUGUAUGCAUUAGAUGAUUUUACGUUCAUUUCUAUGACCAGGGCUGAGCUGGCUGUGUGCUUCUAUCUGACAAGAUUGGUGUUUCUCAAUCACAUUGUGAAUCCUUUUGUUUACGGUUAUUUCGAUACAAAAUUUAGAAAACAGCUAAUGACUUGGUGCAAAAGAGGCAAAUAAUAGAGGAAAACUGUGAGAGGAAAAUCAAAAUUUAUGCCUCCAUUACGUAAAAGAAAGGUUUAAUAUUAAGUUGAGUUGCAGAGAUUAUGAAUACAUAAUUUAAUUUUUGUUCAAACACUCUGCAAUGAUAAAAUUGUGUGACUGUUCUUGUAUAAUAGUUAUGCUAAUUCUAAUAUGUUGCUUUUAUCAUCUAAGCUGUAAAAUUAUGUAUAGGAAAAUCAAAAAAGUUUUAAGUAUGUAUACAUGUUCUGUAAAGAUUUGAGCAUACAAUGAAUAAUAAACGCUCUUCAGGGCUAUAUUUUAGAAGCUCAAGAGAUCAUAACGACUUGCACCCUAAAUUAAUGAACGUUUAUCACUCAAUGAUGCAGUAUGAUGGCAAAACUAAUAAUCAUAGAAAUACAAAAAAAAUAGCUGCGCAUGAAUGGUUUUAUGUAUAUUUGGUUUUCAUUGUGUAUAACAUUCUAUGGAACAGUUACUGAAACAUUUUCGCAGGUUAAAAAGAGUUUCAAAUUGAUUUUCGUGCAUUAGAUCAUGUCAAUGAGUUUAAAAAUAUGAAAGUGUCUUUGAUUUGAAGUUUAUUACUGCUACAUAUGUACAGCAUGAUCAAUAUAAUUUGAGUAUCGUUCUCGAGACUACGAAAAUUAAGCAGUUUGGUAAUUCAUAGCCAAAAAACAUUGGGUUUAUCUCCUCCAUGUAAUUAACAUUCGAAACCAGAAAACCCCGUUUCCUUCUAAGGUGCUGUUACCAUAAUAAAACUGUUAUAUGAAAUUAGAUUUUUAAAAAAAAUAUAAAGAAAUAAUUGAUUGAUAUUUGUGUGAGUCAACCUACAAAAUACUGCAAGACAAAGUACUGCAAUGAUCGUGGAUAUAUACACAUUGAUUAAUUCAUUGCACGUAUGUAAUUAUGCUUUUAAAAAUUAGGUAACAAAAGUAAAUGACAAUUUAUUGCUGAUAAAGCAAAAAAUGACUUUUUAUUACUAUCAACUGGAGGUUACUAAAUAAAUCUUGAAUCAAG